rnacentral:rRNA from 1 species
UACGAAGGGGGCUAGCGUUGCUCGGAAUCACUGGCGUAAAGCGCACGUAGGCGGACUCUUAAGUCGGUGGUGAAAUCCUGGAGCUCAACUCCAGAACUGCCUUCGAUACUGGGAGUCUUCGAGUCCGGGAGAGGUGAGUGGAACUGCGAGUGUAGAGGUGAAAUUCGUAGAUAUUCGCAAGAACACCAGUGGCGAAGGCGGCUCACUGGCCCGGUACUGACGCUGAGGUGCGAAAGCGUGGGGAGCAAACAGG